UCGACGGACAGGUAAUGAAACCUAGUGAUUUAUCUGUUAGUGGCGGACGGGUGAGUAACGCGUGGGUAACCUGCCGUAUACAGGGGGAUAACACUUAGAAAUAGGUGCUAAAACCGCAUAAGCGCACAGGAUCGCAUGGUCCGGUGUGAAAAACUCCGGUGGUAUACGAUGGACCCGCGUCUGAUUAGCUUGUUGGCGGGGUAGAGGCCCACCAAGGCGACGAUCAGUAGCCGGCCUGAGAGGGUGAACGGCCACAUUGGGACUGAGACACGGCCCAAACUCCUACGGGAGGCAGCAGUGGGGAAUAUUGCACAAUGGGGGAAACCCUGAUGCAGCGACGCCGCGUGAGUGAAGAAGUAUUUCGGUAUGUAAAGCUCUAUCAGCAGGAAAGAAAAUGACGGUACCUGACUAAGAAGCCCCGGCUAACUACGUGCCAGCAGCCGCGGUAAUACGUAGGGGGCAAGCGUUAUCCGGAUUUACUGGGUGUAAAGGGAGCGUAGACGGUGAAGCAAGUCUGAAGUGAAAGGCGGGGGCUCAACCCCCGGACUGCUUUGGAAACUGUUUGACUGGAGUGCAGGAGAGGUAAGUGGAAUUCCUAGUGUAGCGGUGAAAUGCGUAGAUAUUAGGAGGAACACCAGUGGCGAAGGCGGCUUACUGGACUGUAACUGACGUUGAGGCUCGAAAGCGUGGGGAGCAAACAGGAUUAGAUACCCUGGUAGUCCACGCGGUAAACGAUGAUCACU
rnacentral:rRNA from 1 species